CCUACGGGAGGCAGCAGUGGGGAAUAUUGGACAAUGGGGGAAAGCCUGAUGCAGCGAAGCCGCGUGAGUGAAGAAGUAUUUCUGUAUGUAAAGCUCUAUAAGCAGGGAAGAAGAAAGACGGUACCUGACUAAGAAGCCCCGGCUAACUACAUGCCAGCAGCCGCGGUUAUACGUAGGGGGCAAGCGUUCUCCCGAUUUACUGGGGGUGAAGGGAGCGUAGACGGGUGUGCAAGUCUGAAGGGAAAACCCAGGGUUCAACCCUGGGACUGGCUUGGAAACUGUGGAGCUUGAGUGCGGGAGAGGUAUGUGGAAUGCCGAGUGUAGCGGUGAAAUGCGUAGAUAUUAGGAGGAACACCGGUUGCGAAGGCGGCUUACUGGACAGUAACUGACGCUGAGGCUCGAAAGCGUGGGGAGCGAACAGGAUUAGAUACCCGGGUAGUC
rnacentral:rRNA from 1 species